CCUACGGGUGGCUGCAGUGAGGAAUAUUGGUCAAUGGGCGUAAGCCUGAACCAGCCAAGUCGCGUGAGGGAUGAAGGAUCUAUGGUUCGUAAACCUCUUUUAUAAGGGAAUAAAGUGCGGGACGUGUCCUGUUUUGUAUGUACCUUAUGAAUAAGGAUCGGCUAACUCCGUGCCAGCAGCCGCGGUAAUACGGAGGAUCCGAGCGUUAUCCGGAUUUAUUGGGUUUAAAGGGAGCGUAGAUGGGUUGUUAAGUCAGUUGUGAAAGUUUGCGGCUCAACCGUAAAAUUGCAAUUGAUACUGGCAGUCUUGAGUACAGUUGAGGUAGGCGGAAUUCGUGGUGUAGCGGUGAAAUGCUUAGAUAUCACGAAGAACCCCGAUUGCGAAGGCAGCUUACUAAACUGUGACUGACAUUGAUGCUCGAAAGUGUGGGUAUCAAAC
rnacentral:rRNA from 1 species